GCGGGAGUAGCUCAGUUGGUAGAGCGCCUGCUUCCCAAGCAGGAGGUUUUCGCGGGUUCGAGACCCGUCUCCCGCU
rnacentral:tRNA from 1 species